AGCGAACGCUGGCGGCAGGCCUAACACAUGCAAGUCGAACGAACCUUUCGGGGUUAGUGGCGGACGGGUGAGUAACACGUGGGAACGUGCCUUUAGGUUCGGAAUAACUCAGGGAAACUUGUGCUAAUACCGAAUGUGCCCUUCGGGGGAAAGAUUUAUCGCCUUUAGAGCGGCCCGCGUCUGAUUAGCUAGUUGGUUGAGGUAAUGGCUCACCAAGGCGACGAUCAGUAGCUGGUCUGAGAGGAUGAUCAGCCACAUUGGGACUGAGACACGGCCCAAACUCCCAGGGGGGGGAGGAGGGGGGAAUCUUGGGCAAGGGGCGAAAGCCUGACGCAGCCAGGCCGGGUGAAUGAGGAAGGUCUUAGGAUUGUAAAAUUCUUUCCCCGGGGACGAUAAUGACGGUACCCGGAAAAGAAGCCCCGGCUAACUUCGU
rnacentral:rRNA from 1 species